rnacentral:rRNA from 1 species
UACGUAGGGUGCAAGCGUUGUCCGGAAUUAUUGGGCGUAAAGAGCUUGUAGGCGGUUUGUCGCGUCUGCUGUGAAAUUUCGGGGCUCAACCCCGAACUUGCAGUGGGUACGGGCAGACUAGAGUGUGGUAGGGGAGACUGGAAUUCCUGGUGUAGCGGUGGAAUGCGCAGAUAUCAGGAGGAACACCGAUGGCGAAGGCAGCUCGCUGGGACGGUACUGACGCUGAGGCGCGAAAGCGUGGGGAGCGAACAGG